GCAAACUUCCCAGAUAAUCUGAAAAUCUAGAGCCAAUAGGUAGCCUUCAACACGACUACAGCAAGAGACUGCAGCCUUGUGUAAGCUCCUCCUGAUGUCCUCAGGUAGAGGAGAAGCCCAGCAGGAAGACAAAUUAAGUCUGGUCCUAAACAGAUGGAAUCAGUUAAGGAUGGUGUCCUACUAGAGUCGGGUGUCCUUGAAAGAUGGCCAUGCUUGAAGACACAGACACAGCAGGACACACGUGACAACAAAGGCAGAGACUAGAAUUGUGCAGCUGCAAACCAAAGAGCACGACAAUUGUGAACAAAUCACCAGAAGCCAGAGUCAAGGAAGGAUUCCUCUACAGGUUUCUGAGGGGACGGGCCCUGCCAACACCCCGUGAUUCCAGAUUUCUAGUGGUCAGAACUGCAAAAUAAUAAACGCCUGUUGUUUUA